UACGUAGGUGGCAAGCGUUGUCCGGAAUUACUGGGCGUAAAGCGCGCGUAGGCGGCUUUGUAAGUUAGAGGUGAAAGCCCGGAGCUUAACUCCGGAACUGCCUUUAAGACUGCAUCGCUAGAAUCGUGGAGAGGUGAGUGGAAUUCCGAGUGUAGAGGUGAAAUUCGUAGAUAUUCGGAAGAACACCAGUGGCGAAGGCGACUCACUGGACAAGUAUUGACGCUGAGGUGCGAAAGCGUGGGGAGCAAACAGG
rnacentral:rRNA from 1 species